GACGUAGGAGGCGAGCGUUAUCCGGAUUCACUGGGCGUAAAGCGCAUGUAGGCGGUUUUGUAAGUCCGCGGUUAAAGCCCCUGGCUCAACUGGGGGAGGUCCGUGGAGACUGUGGGACUUGAGGGCAACAGAGGCACGUGGAACUCCCGGUGUAGCGGUGGAAUGCGUAGAGAUCGGGAAGAACACCAGUGGCGAAGGCGACGUGCUGGGUUGCACCUGACGCUGAGAUGCGAAAGUGUGGGGAGCAAACGGG
rnacentral:rRNA from 1 species